rnacentral:misc_RNA from 1 species
GAUGAAGAACGUAGUUAAAUGCGAUAAGUAAUGUGAAUUGCAGAAUUCAGUGAAUCAUCGAGUCUUUGAACGCACAUUGCGCCCCCUGGUAUUCCGGGGGGCAUGCCUGUCCGAGCGUCAUUGCCGCCCUCAAGCACGGCUUGUGUGUUGGGCCCCCGCCCCCCGGCUUCGGGGGGCGGGCCCGAAAGGCAGCGGCGGCACCGCGUCCGGUCCUCGAGCGUAUGGGGCUUCGUCACCCGCUCUGUAGGCCCGGCCGGCGCCCGCCGGCGACCCCAAUCAAUCUUUCCAGGUUGACCUCGGAUCAGGUAGGGAUACCCGCUGAACUUAAGCAUAUCAAUAAGCGGAGGA